UACGUAGGGGGCUAGCGUUGUCCGGAAUCAUUGGGCGUAAAGCGCGUGUAGGCGGUCCGGUAAGUCCGCUGUGAAAGUCGGGGGCUCAACCCUCGAAUGCCGGUGGAUACUGUCGGGCUAGAGUGCGGAAGAGGCGAGUGGAAUUCCUGGUGUAGCGGUGAAAUGCGCAGAUAUCAGGAGGAACACCGAUGGCGAAGGCAGGUCACUGGGCCGCAACUGACGCUGAGGAGCGAAAGCAUGGGGAGCGAACAGG
rnacentral:rRNA from 1 species